UACAGAGGCCUCGAGCGUUAGGCGGAAUCACUGGGCUUAAAGCGUGUGUAGGCGGACUUCUAAGUACCUUGUGAAAUCCCACGGCUUACCCGUGGAACUGCUGGGUAUACUGGGUGUCUUGGGUCAGCUAGGGGUUGCCGGAACAAAUGGUGGAGCGGUGAAAUGCGUAGAUAUCAGGAGGAACACCUGUGGCGAAAGCGGCGCACUGGACCACAACUGACGCUGAGGCGCGAAAGCUAGGGGAGCAAACAGG
rnacentral:rRNA from 1 species